UACGGAAUGGGCUAGCGGUGGUAGGGAUUACUGGACGUAAAGGGCGCGCUGGCGGCUGCUCGAGUCAGGCGUGAAAGGACUGGGCUCAACCCGGGAAUUGCGCUUGAGACUGGGCUGGCUUGAGUGCGGGAGAGGAUGGUGGAAUUCCCAGUGUAGAGGUGAAAUUCGUAGAUAUUGGGAAGAACACCGGUGGCGAAGGCGCCUCACUGGAUCGAUACUGACGCUGAGGAGCGAAAGCGUGGCGAGCAAACAGG
rnacentral:rRNA from 1 species